rnacentral:sRNA from 1 species
GCAGAAUUCAGUGAAUCAUCGAAUCUUUGAACGCAAAUGGCGCUCUUGGGUUCUCCCAGGAGCAUGUCUGUCUGAGUGUCUUUUUCGUUGAAUGACAUUCGCACGAUGUGGCCGUGUCAUGCACUGGCGUUUCGUGCGGCGUUGAGGUUCGCGGCCUUGCUAUUCUUAGGCCGCGUGCCUUUAAAUGGAGGAGGAAGAUGGGCUCAAGGUCCGGUGCAGUUGCAUGCGGAUUCAGUUCAUGUGCCGCAUGUGACUGCUGCACCGGGGAAUAUUGUCCUCGGCCCUCUACCUCGUGACCUUUAGCACGACGCUCGUUCGUUCGUUGCUUGCCGCCAGACCUCAGAUCAGGCAAGGCUACCCGCUGAAUUUAAGCAUAUUAAUAAGCGGAGGAAAAGAAACUAACAAGGAUUCCCCCAGUAACGGCGAGUGAAGCGGGAAGAGCUCAAAUUUGAAAUCUCCGAUGCCUGCAUCGGCGAGUUGUAGUUGCGAGAAGCACUUUCUAGGCGGAAGGGCCCUGCCUAAGUUGCUUGGAACAGCACGUCGCAGAGGGUGACAACCCCGUCU